CAGCCCUCUAACACGUCUUACAUCUUACCAUUCAGAAGAAGAACACCCCACAAACACACCGAACUUGUGGUUGUCAUCCGUAAUAGCUUGUAGACCGGCGGACUCGAAUGCCUCGUGCGACAGCUCAAGAAGCAUUCGUUGCUGUGGAUCCAUCCUUCUUGCCUGAAUUCAGGAAAACAAAAACUGUUUGACACUGCUGAUGUCCCCUACUCUUCAUCAUCCGGCGGGAAAAGUAUCUGCGGCAGCACUCAGUGACGCCAUGACCUGCGUUGGUAGCAAUCUUCGCUCGGCACUGUUGCUCUGUUUGAGCUCGCAGAUGUGGAAGACGAACGAGCUAAAGCUCUCGUAAUCCUUCGCCGCGAGUGGCCCGAUUGGCACUUCGAACUGAACCGACACACGGUUGAGAAACUCUGCGAAUGUGAUAUCAUCUUGACGAACAGCGCAGAAGCGGUACUCAGCGUCAGUCCUUUGGUUGGGGGUGUCCUCGCUGUCUGGCUCAGUUACAGCCUCAAGACAGGAUAGUAAAGCCUGAGUGAGGUCAGACGCCAUUGUUUGUGAACGUCCAGUUUUUCUAUAUUCAGUAGCAGCAGUUUCACAUGUUUCAACGAGGUUGUUCUUCUCUCUAAUCAGAAGAUGGGCGUCUCAGAAGUCAACCUCAUUCCGCAUCAUAUAUAACAACUUCACACGCAGAUUCGGGAACUCAUAAACAAUGCGCAUGACAUGAAAUAUUUGUUGGCUCCGCUGGGGCCAGUAGUUGGCUAAUCACAUGAUAAGCUCUCAACCACAUAGUACUGACCUGCUAUUCUGUUACACGGUAGAACAGUUUUCACAAGAAAAGAAGGCCGGUUAGCGUUCUGUCUACACAUCGUUCAAAACGUGUUCCCCAGCUCCGGUGUCAGUUUGCAAGAGUCCUGUGAUUUCCUGCUGGCUCACCUGCCAGUUUUUGACCCGUAACGGAGCCAGCACGGUCUGGGUAGUGUCCUGCUGCCAUUAACGCGGUAACUCCACAUCUGGUACGAGUGAGGUUGUUAUCUCCUACUAAAUCGCGACUCCAAUGCUGCUUCCUCCCAUCAAUUAAUUUCUCCG
rnacentral:lncRNA from 1 species